CGGCGAUGGAAGGGUCGGAUUAAAUGGCCGGCGUAACCGCAGCUCGAAAUCCUUCAGCACGGCUCGCUGUCUUCAAGAACAAAUUAAACCGUGUUGUUGGCACAUCCAGUCCAGCGCAUCCCCAGAGGAGGAGAAGGCAGCACUCCAUGGGAAAUCCCAACUGACCGCAGGAGCCAGAGGGGGCAGGGACUGGGAACAGAUUCUCCAUCCGGUUCGUGCAGGAUGAGGUUUACCCGCGGCAUCCCAUGGAGACGAGAGCAUUUCUACAUGGAUUCUACUCGGCCACAAACCACGUGAGAGCACAUGCAAAAAGUGGUUCAUCACCCGCACCGCAGCCUGCAGCCAUUGGGUUCUCAAAGAGCUUCUCGCACCCCUGACCCCGAAUUGCUG